rnacentral:rRNA from 1 species
UACGUAGGUGGCAAGCGUUGUCCGGAUUUAUUGGGCGUAAAGCGCGCGCAGGCGGUCUAAUAAGUCUGAGGUAAAAGCCCGCGGCUCAACCGUGGAAGGUCAUUGGAAACUGUUAAACUUGAGUGCAGGAGAGAAAAGUGGAAUUCCUAGUGUAGCGGUGAAAUGCGUAGAGAUUAGGAGGAACACCAGUGGCGAAGGCGGCUUUUUGGCCUGCAACUGACACUGAGGCGCGAAAGCGUGGGGAGCAAACAGG